rnacentral:rRNA from 1 species
UACGUAGGGUGCAAGCGUUGUCCGGAAUUAUUGGGCGUAAAGAGCUCGUAGGCGGUCUGUCGCGUCGGCUGUGAAAACUCGGGGCUCAACCCCGAGCCUGCAGUCGAUACGGGCAGACUAGAGUGCUGUAGGGGAGACUGGAAUUCCUGGUGUAGCGGUGAAAUGCGCAGAUAUCAGGAGGAACACCGGUGGCGAAGGCGGGUCUCUGGGCAGUAACUGACGCUGAGGAGCGAAAGCAUGGGGAGCGAAACAGG